rnacentral:rRNA from 1 species
UACGUAGGUGGCAAGCGUUUGUCCGGAUUUACUGGGCGUAAAGAGCGCGCAGGCGGUCGAUCAAGUCGAGUGUGAAAGCCCCCGGCUCAACUGGGGAGGGUCAUUCGAUACUGAUCGACUCGAAGGCAGGAGAGGGUAGUGGAAUUCCCGGUGUAGUGGUGAAAUGCGUAGAUAUCGGGAGGAACACCAGUGGCGAAGGCGACUACCUGGCCUGUUCUUGACGCUGAGGCGCGAAAGCUAGGGGAGCAACGGG